UUUUCUUUUUUUAGUUAUAUUAUAUGUUUUGUCUUUUUCAGAUUUUGUCAUCCGAGAUAGAAGCUUUGAAGUUUAUUAAGCGUUUUGACCUAACACUUGAUGGUUCUUAUGCAGAUAUCACCUCGCUUCGCUUGGCCUUUCCGGCAGCCUCAGGUCUGACAACCUCAGGUCCACCUCCACUCAACUCUCUCGUAUCCCCUUCACCUAUUAAUAUAUCCUAGAACAACGCCAUAUACAUCAAAGUAAUCCAUACUUCCUUUUGGAUCGUUGGUUGACAAACGCCAAUCCACUGCUUCCCUCUCUAUCCACUGUUCUAAUAUGUUGGUAAGGUGUAUGCGUCAAACCUAAAUCUAUUGAUGUCUCUUCAAGCUUCGCGCUCCAACUCAGAAGGCAUCUCCGAUAUCCUUAUCCCAAGUUUCAACCAAGUAAUUAAAUCUCUUUGACCUCCAAUCAACAAUGCCGAAGGUUUUACUAGUUUGCAGCAAUUUUCUCCGAUUAGGGUUUUCAGCCUCAUUGUGGUGGUUGAUUGGCAAAAACUCACCAGUUCCUUAGAUGAAGAAGAGGUUAAUUGGUAAAGGCGACUCUAAUUUCACAGCAAGCAUCGUGUAUCGCUCACUGUAACAUAAACUACACACGUAAUCAGAAAAAAGAAAGACUAUUUGAACUUCUUUAUCCUGUUAUUUGCAGAUGUUUGGGAAUAUUGUUGGUGUAUUUAAAGUCAUUUCGAUUGCAAUUAGUGCCCUUGAAGAAGGGGAGGUUGACACCGUUUAUAUGACCAAACUUGCUAAACUUGCCACCUAGAAAUUGAUUUGGUUCAGCUUCAAGUGUUGAUCCUCUUGAAGAACAGAAAGAGAUAGCAAUGGCACUCAGGUUCUCAGGGACACAGAAGGCAACUGUUCUCAGUUAGAAUUGUGAAAUCUUUUGAUCCCCAAAUAACCCUUUUGUUGAUUAUGGAGUUACAGUAAUAGUUGGUAAAGCUGGUGUCCCCCCUUGUUAAUUGAUAACAAUCUUCUCAGUCAGUGUCGUCAAAAAAAAAAUUUUAAAAAUAUACAAGGUAUUAUAGAUAUGAAAUAGUGAGUGAAUGAGGUUAGGUUUUAGGAGAAUAUGAUUUAAAAGAAGCAACUAGUACCUAAGGUGGCUGCAUUUGAAUCUCGAAUCUAUAUUCUCUAGAGUAGUAGUCUUCAAUCCAUUCCAUGCUCAAUUUCUCAAUUUUUGGGGUUUCAAAUAUUCAGGUGACACUUUUUCUUUCAUUUUUUUUUGUUUCAUUAUGUGAUACACCUCUUGUAUUUUUAUUUUUUUUAGUAUUGAUAAAAAUCUUUCUUAAUGAUAAAAUUGUUAAUUAUUUGAAUGAUUUAUUUGAUAUUUUACAGGGCAUCACCCAUCAGAUAGUAUUGCAGCAAAAUUGCCUUCUAAUGCUCGUGGCUUACCAUCACCAGCAGCUUCAGCAGCUGUUAUGAGACAUGCACAACUUCUUUUCAGUGGACCUGCUGUUCAUUAUUUAUCUGAAAAGAAGUUAAAAGAAGAUAAGGAAGAAACAUGUGCAGGUUCUGACAACUCUAACAACCUCCUUCCAUGCCCUGCAGUCUCUCAAAGUUCUUGCAUUGAGGUUAUUCUCUUAGAAAGGAAAUUGUCAAAGGAGAUUGUCAAUGGACAAUUUACUCAUUGGUUUCUUUUAAUGCUGUACAUGUUUCGUUUUCUAUAAUAAGUACUAUGCAAUAUUAGCAAUGUGUUAAAUUUACUUAUUAUUGGAAUGAUUAUUUGUAUUUGACAUAUUAGUGCAAUGAAUUAUCUUUAUUAUUUAUGGUA